GCCUUCGUGGUGGAAUGCUCACCACACUCAGCUCGUAUUCGAAAGGUCCGUGGUUCGAUUCCCGGCGAGAACA
rnacentral:tRNA from 1 species